rnacentral:rRNA from 1 species
CGCAAGCCUGACGGAGCAACGCCGCGUGUGGGAAGAAGGCUCUUGGGCUGUCAACCACUUUUCUCAGGGAAGAAGUCCUGACGGUACCUGAGGAAUCAGCCUCGGCUAACUCCGUGCCAGCAGCCGCGGUAAUACGGAGGAGGCAAGCGUUAUCCGGAAUUAUUGGGCGUAAAGCGUCCGCAGGGGGCACUUCAAGUCUGCUGUCAAAGGUCGGAGCUUAACUCCGGUUCGGCAGUGGAAACUGGAGUGCUAGAGGGCGACAGGGGUAGAGGGAAUUCCCAGUGUAGCGGUGAAAUGCGUAGAGAUUGGGAAGAACACCGGUGGCGAAAGCGCUCUACUGGGUCGCACCUGACCCUCAGGGACGAAAGCUAAGGUAGCG